rnacentral:rRNA from 1 species
GACGAACGCUGGCGGCGUGCCUAACACAUGCAAGUCGAGCGGUCCGGCAUUUAACAUUGAGUAUUCAGAUGAAUCUGAGUAUUGAAUGUUAAAUGUCGGAUAGCGGCGGACGGGUGAGUAACGCGUGGGUAACCUGCCUUAUACAGGGGGAUAACACAGGGAAACUUGUGCUAAUACCGCAUAAUAUCAUUGUAUGGCAUCAUGUGAUGAUCAAAGGAGCAAUCCGGUAUAAGAUGGACCCGCGUCCAAUUAGCUAGUUGGUGGUGUAACGGAUCACCAAGGCGACGAUUGGUAGCCGAACUGAGAGGUUGAUCGGCCACAUUGGGACUGAGACACGGCCCAGACUCCUACGGGAGGCAGCAGUGGGGAAUAUUGCACAAUGGGGGAAACCCUGAUGCAGCAACGCCGCGUGAAGGAUGAAGGUUUUCGGAUCGUAAACUUCUUUGAUGAGGGACGAAAAUGACGGUACCUCAAGAACAAGCCACGGCUAAC